AACGAACGCUGGCGGCAGGCCUAACACAUGCAAGUCGAACGCUGUAGCAAUACAGAGUGGCAGACGGGUGAGUAACGCGUGGGAACCUUCCCAAUGGUACGGAAUAGCUCAGGGAAACUUGAGGUAAUACCGUAUAAGCCCCUAGGGGGAAAGAUUUAUCGCCAUUGGAUGGGCCCGCGUCGGAUUAGCUAGUUGGUGAGGUAAUGGCUCACCAAGGCGACGAUCCGUAGCUGGUUUGAGAGAAUGACCAGCCACACUGGGACUGAGACACGGCCCAGACUCCUACGGGAGGCAGCAGUGGGGAAUCUUGGACAAUGGGCGAAAGCCUGAUCCAGCCAUGCCGCGUGAGUGACGAAGGCCUUAGGGUUGUAAAGCUCUUUUGCCGGGGACGAUAAUGACGGUACCCGGAGAAUAAGUCCCGGCUAACUUCGUGCCAGCCGCCGCGGUAAGAC
rnacentral:rRNA from 1 species